rnacentral:snRNA from 1 species
GUGCUCGCUUUGGCAGCACAUAUACUAAAAUUGGAACAAUACAGAAAAGAUUAUUAUGGCCCCUGCACAAGAAUGACAUGCAAACUCAUGAAGCAUUCCAUUUUU